GGCCGGCUGGCUCAAUCGGCAGAGCGUCUGACUACGAUGAGUACAUCAGGAGGUUCCAGGUUCGAGUCCUGGGUUGGUCG